rnacentral:rRNA from 1 species
UACGUAGGGUGCGAGCGUUGUCCGGAAUUAUUGGGCGUAAAGAGCUUGUAGGCGGUUCGUCGCGUCUGCUGUGAAAAUCCGGGGCUCAACCCCGGACUUGCAGUGGGUACGGGCAGACUAGAGUGUGGUAGGGGAGACUGGAAUUCCUGGUGUAGCGGUGAAAUGCGCAGAUAUCAGGAGGAACACCGAUGGCGAAGGCAGGUCUCUGGGCCACUACUGACGCUGAGAAGCGAAAGCGUGGGGAGCGAACAGG